AGAGUUUGAUCAUGGCUCAGAACGAACGCUGGCGGCGUGCCUAACACAUGCAAGUCGAGCGCGAAAAGAGCAAUCUGAGUAGAGCGGCGCACGGGUGCGUAACACGUGGGUAAUCUGCCUCAGGGUUGAGGAUAACCUUCCGAAAGGUUGGCUAAUACUCGGUAAGCUUACGGUGACUUUGGUCAUUGUGAGAAAACUAGACCUCUAUUUAUAAGUUUAGGCCCAGAGAUGAGCCCGCGGCCCAUCAGCUAGUUGGCGGGGUAACGGCCCACCAAGGCAACGACGGGUAGCUGGUCUGAGAGGACGAUCAGCCACACUGGAACUGAGACACGGUCCAGACUCCUACGGGAGGCAGCAGUGGGGAAUUUUCCACAAUGGGCGAAAGCCUGAUGGAGCAACGCCGCGUGUGUGAUGAAGGUCUUCGGAUCGUAAAGCACUUUCGACCGGGACGAAAAACCUCUGGCUAACAUCCAGGGGCCUGACGGUACCGGGAGAAGAAGCACCGGCUAACUCUGUGCCAGCAGCCGCGGUAAUACAGAGGGUGCAAGCGUUGUUCGGAAUUAUUGGGCGUAAAGCGCGUGUAGGCGGCUUGGCAAGUCAGAUGUGAAAGCCCUCGGCUUAACCGAGGAAGUGCGUCUGAAACUGCUGAGCUUGAGUCUCGGAGAGGAUGGCGGAAUUCCGCAAGUAGAGGUGAAAUUCG
rnacentral:rRNA from 1 species